rnacentral:rRNA from 1 species
UGACGUGUACCUGAAGAAUAAGCAUCGGCUAACUCCGUGCCAGCAGCCGCGGUAAGACGGAGGAUGCAAGUGUUAUCCGGAAUCACUGGGCGUAAAGCGUCUGUAGGUGGUUUAAUAAGUCAACUGUUAAAUCUUGAAGCUCAACUUCAAAAUCGCAGUCGAAACUAUUAGACUAGAGUAUAGUAGGGGUAAAGGGAAUUUCCAGUGGAGCGGUGAAAUGCGUAGAUAUUGGGAAGAACACCGAUGGCGAAGGCACUUUACUGGGCUAUUACUGACACUCAGAGACGAAAGCUAGGGUAGCAAAUGGGAUUAGAUACCCCAGUAGUCCUAG